GGGGAUUUAGCUCAGUGGUGUAAGCACCUGCUUGGCAUGCAGGAGGUUGUGAGUGCGAUCCCCG
rnacentral:tRNA from 1 species